rnacentral:rRNA from 1 species
CCUACGGGGGGCUGCAGUCGAGAAUCAUUCACAAUGGGGGAAACCCUGAUGGUGCGACGCCGCGUGGGGGAAUGAAGGUCUUCGGAUUGUAAACCCCUGUCAUGUGGGAGCAAAUUAAAAAGAUAGUACCACAAGAGGAAGAGACGGCUAACUCUGUGCCAGCAGCCGCGGUAAUACAGAGGUCUCAAGCGUUGUUCGGAAUCACUGGGCGUAAAGCGUGCGUAGGCUGUUUCGUAAGUCGUGUGUGAAAGGCGCGGGCUCAACCCGCGGACGGCACAUGAUACUGCGAGACUAGAGUAAUGGAGGGGGAGCCGGAAUUCUCGGUGUAGCAGUGAAAUGCGUAGAUAUCGAGAGGAACACUCGUGGCGAAGGCGGGUUCCUAGACAUUAACUGACGCUGGGGCACGAAGGCCAGGGGAGCGAAAGGGAUUAGAUACCCGGGUAGUC